rnacentral:rRNA from 1 species
UACGUAGGUGGCAAGCGUUGUCCGGAUUUAUUGGGUUUAAAGGGUGCGUAGGUGGAUUAAUAAGUCAGUGGUGAAAGCCCGGAGCUCAACUCCGGAACUGCCAUUGAUACUGUUAGUCUUGAGUACAGUUGAGGUGGGCGGAAUGUGUCAUGUAGCGGUGAAAUGCUUAGAUAUGACAUAGAACACCGAUAGCGAAGGCAGCUUGCUACACAAUUAUUGACACUGAGGCACGAAAGCGUGGGGAUCAAACAGG